CCUACGGGAGGCAGCAGUAGGGAAUAUUGGGCAAUGGAGGCAACUCUGACCCAGCAACGCCGCGUGAAUGAAGAAGGUCUUAGGAUUGUAAAGUUCUUUUAUAGCAGGCGAAAAAAAUGACGGUAUGCUAUGAAUAAGCCACGGCUAACUACGUGCCAGCAGCCGCGGUAAU
rnacentral:rRNA from 1 species